rnacentral:rRNA from 1 species
AGAGUUUGAUCAUGGCUCAGAUUGAACGCUGGCGGCUGGCCUCACACUUGGAAGUCGAACGGUUACAGGAUGUGCUUGCACAUCGCUGACGAGUGGCGGACGGGUGAGUUAUGCUUGGGAACUUGCCUUUGCGAGGGGGAUAACCGUUGGAAACGACUGCUAUUACCGCAUUAUGUCUACGGACCAAACGGGGCUUAGGCUCCGGCGCAAAGAGAGGCCCAAGUGAGAUUAGCUAGUUGGUAAGGUAACGGCUUACCAAGGCGACGAUCUCUAGCUGUUCUGAGAGGAAGAUCUGCCACACUGGGACUGAGACGCGGCCCAGACUCCUACUGGAGGC